GUCUGGCAGUGCACCAAUAAAGUCUUUUUCAUAAUGAUAAAGUUAGAUUUAAGUUAUUUGCUGAACAUGGUUCACUGCAUAUAGACCUAGGUCUUCUUAUGUCUAUGAUUCACUGAUUAAGAGGUAAUUUGGCUCUGAUCAUUUGUGAUGAGAAAACAUCAAACUUCAGAACUCUGGCUUUCAGGUUGUACAUUUCUUAAAAUAUCUUCCUAUUUGCAACUAUAGCCAGCAACAAACACAUCCGUCAUGGGGGGUUCUCUGUGCUUUUACUAACAAUAAGUCGAACCACUUCCUUAUACUCUCUCUUUGCUGAGAUGGGGUCACCAAGUGUGGUUCUUCUAAGCUGUUUCCUUAUACAAUGCUACGGUAAGAGAUUUUUCUUUUACUAAUAAUGUUCAAUUUAUUCUAAAUGCAGAUACAAAUGAUCUUUGCUAAAUAACAGUAAGUAAUAAUAGUAUUUGUAAUAGUAAUUGAAAUGGUCAUGUUCAAGAUGUGCUAACAGUAUAGGGUCACAGCAAAAAUGUAACCAUGAAUCAAUGUGUUCUUUUUCCUUGAAGGGUCCACUCAUUUUCAUUACCUAAAGAAAGGGGAGGAGGUAACACUGUCCUGUGAAACAUGUCAAUGGCAGGCUGAUGUGAAUUCAGACAACAAAGUGGACUGCAACAUCAUAGGGAGUAUUUAUACAACGACCUCAAUAUGCCCUACUAGAAGACAGGACCUUUGCCAAGAGAUAAAGAGAAACAAACCCACCUCUUGUGAAAUCCGUGUAAUGAGAGGAUUCUUUGCCUGUGUUAAUGCUACAUCUGACUCCUGCUUCAUGUAUCCAUUCAAACCCUCUUCUCAUCAUGUGGAGUCCUUCAUUGUUGCUCAGGCAGAACCAGACAUUGUGUCUGGACCUGUAAUGGACAAUUCAGUGCUUGUGUCUGGAGGAGAAUCAAUUAAUCUGACGUGCGGUUUUAAGACAAACAGGAGUUAUAACAAUACUCCUUUCGUGGUGUACUGGAUCAAGACUGGUGCUCAGAGCAGCACAUGUCUGUAUUCCUUUCAUUACGCUACAUUUGAUGAUAGUGGUGUUGAUGACCACUGUGCCAUUGACAGAGAUCUUCUGUUAAGGAGAUCAAACACAUCAAGACACUUCCUUGUUGACAACAACCAUUAUUUACACAUGGGACUUGGUUUCCAAAGGCAUUCAUGCUUAUCUUCAUAUGCUUGACUAAAUCAUUAUUGGUACAUUCUUGACACUAAACUAAACUAAAGCAUUUAACAUGAUAAUGUUUGUGUGUGUUGAAGACAAAUCAAAUACCACCGGAAAUACCACUGCUGGUAAAUUCAGUUUGACAUUUCAAAUGAAAUUAAUAAUAUUGAGCCCAAGUAAAUGCAAUGCAAUCUAAUGCAAGACACAAUUUGUCUCUAGAAAAUAAUCUUUUUUUUUUUAGGAACCCCCACAUAUGGUAGUACUGGUAAGCACAGCUGGAGGUGGGAAAGCAUGCAGUUUCCUCUGUUAAAAUACAAGGUAAAGCUGAAUCAAAAUCAUAUUUUCUGGUACCUACAGAUUCUCAUAACACCAUGAGAGUUGGUGUAUUAGUUGGUGUAUUAGUACCAGUUCUCCUCCUCCUCCCUGUCAUCAUCAUCAUCAUCAUCAUUAUACUGCUGAAAAGGAAAUCAGCUGAGACCAAAGGUGAAACAUGUAGUAGUUUUUUUAUGUAGUAGUAUUUUUAAUUAGAUAUUUUUUCAUAAAUAUACAAUUCAGCUGUUAUUAUGUUUUGUCUUUACAGUGUCUCAAACUGAAAUAACUCAAAGGUAACAUUUUAGAUUUUUGUGGUUGUUGUUGUUUAUUCAUUUUAAUUGUGGUGGGUCUCUGUAAAUGAAUGACAAAAGGGCUGUUAAUCCAACAGUAACUGUAUUGACAACUGUAAGUAUAAAGAUAUGAGCGUCCACACUGAUCAACCAUAGGGAAAACAUCUCAGAAAUAGAAUUUCACGUUUUAAUUUCGAUGCCUUUCAAAUUUGACAGAUUCUGAUUGGCUGUUAGUUUUUUAUCAUUCGCACAUUCGCUCUGAAAGUGAUGCCCAGCAAUAUUGUUCUUCAUUCCGUUAUCGUUAUAAUGUGUGCUGUACAAGUUGCCAUUGUAAUAAGCUCGAGUGAUAUGUGUUGCUUUUCUCUCAACUCUUCCCCAUGCUAUCCCUCCUCACUGCUGUCUCCUCUAGAUAUCAG
rnacentral:lncRNA from 1 species